UACGUAGGGUCCGAGCGUUGUCCGGAAUUACUGGGCGUAAAGAGCUCGUAGGUGGUUUGUCGCGUUGUUCGUGAAAACUCACAGCUCAAUUGUGGGCGUGCGGGCGAUACGGGCAGACUGGAGUACUGCAGGGGAGACUGGAAUUCCUGGUGUAGCGGUGGGAAUGACGCAGAUAUCAGGAGGAACACCGGUGGCGAAGGCGGGUCUCUGGGCAGUAACUGACGCUGGAGGAGCGAAAAGCGUGGGGGAGCGAACAGG
rnacentral:rRNA from 1 species